UACGUAGGGGGCAAGCGUUGUCCGGAAUUAUUGGGCGUAAAGCGCGCGCAGGCGGCCUGUUAAGUCUGAUGUGAAAGCCCACGGCUCAACCGUGGAGGGCCAUUGGAAACUGGCAGGCUUGAGUGCAGGAGAGGAGAGCGGAAUUCCCGGUGUAGCGGUGAAAUGCGUAGAGAUGUGGAGGAACACCGAUGGCGAAGGCAGCCUUCUGGGCCAACACUGACGCUCAUGCACGAAAGCGUGGGGAGCAAACAGG
rnacentral:rRNA from 1 species